GAAAGGUGGCUUCGGCUAUCACUUACAGAUGGACCCGCGGCGCAUUAGCUAGUUGGUGAGGUAAUGGCUCACCAAGGCGACGAUGCGUAGCCGACCUGAGAGGGUGAUCGGCCACACUGGGACUGAGACACGGCCCAGACUCCUACGGGAGGCAGCAGUAGGGAAUCUUCCGCACUGGACGAAAGUCUGACGGAGCAACGCCGCGUGAGUGAAGAAGGUUUUCGGAUCGUAAAACUCUGUUGUUAGGGAAGAACAAGUGCCGUUCGAAUAGGUCGGCGCCUUGACGGUACCUAACCAGAAAGCCACGGCUAACUUCGUGCCAGCAGCCGCGGUAAUACGUAGGUGGCAAGCGUUGUCUGGAAUUAUUGGGCGUAAAGCGCGCGCAGGUGGUUUCUUAAGUUUGAUGUGAAAGCCCACGGCUCAACCGUGGAGGGUCAUUGGAAACUGGGGAACUUGAGUGCAGAAGAGGAAAGUGGAAUUCCAAGUGUAGCGGUGAAAUGCGUAGAUAUUUGGAGGAACCCCAGUGGCGAAGGCGACUUUCUGGUCUGUAACUGACACUGAGGCGCGAAAGCGUGGGGAGCAAACAGGAUUAGAUUCCCUGGUAGUUCCCGCCGUAAACGAUGAGUGCUAAGUGUUAGAGGGUCUCCGCCCUUUAGUGCUGCAGCUAACGCAU
rnacentral:rRNA from 2 species